GUGACAUACAUACUAAAUAAAAUUGGAAUAAUACAGAGAAGAUUAGCAUUUCCCUGGCAUUAGAGUGACUUGCAAGUUUAUGGAGCAUUUAGUAUUUUU
rnacentral:snRNA from 1 species